rnacentral:lncRNA from 1 species
UAAAUUUCAUAAUUUUUCGACAUCAUUUGGCUAGCGAUCAAAAGGUCUCAAAUUUGACAAUUUUAAUGGUAGAUGUGACGCGUUUGUGAAUUUAACAGUGUAAAACAAUCCAAAUCUGAUAAAAUUUUUAUAGAAAAUUUUUUUCACUAUUUAGAAUAAGAUCAGUACCUCUGAUCUUAAAUUAAAAUCUUUUAUCAUCAUUUUUUAUGAGAUUUUUAUUUUCAGCCGUUCAUUUUUAGACUACUCGUUUGAUAGGUAAAUGAUGCCAAAAAAUUAUGAAAUUUAGUUUCCAAAUACUUUCAAUAGUGUAGAUCAAGUCUAACGACGUCGAUCGUCAAUUUGGAAGCCGCAUCAUUGAAAACAACUUGGUAGCACGGAGGCCUCCGUGCUACCGAUAAUAUACCAGCCUAGCUCUCUCUCUCUCUCUCUCUACAUAUAUAUAUAUAGAACUAGGCUGGAAUACUAUCAAUAGCACCAAACUAUUGGUGCUAUUAGUUUUUUAACCUUUGGAUUGAAAAAUGUGCGGCUAGAAUGACGCGGGCUCCCUAGGAUUGAGUGGGUGGUUGGUUGAAUAGUAUAAUCUAAGGGGUAAAAAUAAUCAAAGGGUUAAAUCUAACGGUGGAAAACUCGAUAGCACCAAACUUGGUGCUAUCGAUAGUAUCCCAACCGAACUAUAUAUAUAUAUAUAUAUAUAUAUAUAUAUAUAUAUAUAUAU